GUAACUAAUCAAAAAUGCUUUAGAGCUUUAAAAAGAUUGAGAUGGUUUUCAUGUAGAAUAUAAUAUCUUCACAAGCACUAAAAACUGAUAUUUUCGUCAAUGGCAACACUAUAUAGGGUUACGUGCUCGGUAACCCAAUGACAGAACGUAAAAUUGAUGAUAACCAUCGUAUUCCAUAUGCUCAUGGUAUGGCGCUCAUCUCUGAUGAGCUCUACGAGUUGGCAUGCAGUCGCUGAAAAGAAUAUGCAAAGGGGAAUAUACAUAUGUUGAUCCACUUAACACAAAAUGCUUGAAACUCGUUGAAGAAUAUCAUAAGUGUAUAGAUGGAUUAAACCUAUAUAGUAUACUACAACCUUGGUGCAAACAUGCGAAUCCAGAUUGCUUU